rnacentral:lncRNA from 1 species
GAGGAGAAGGCUUAAGAGUCGCUGGCACAUGCAUUGACCUUUGGUGAUGAGCAUAGUAUGCCUUGUCGAACAGAAUCGAGACGACGUUGCUGAGCGUGAAUUGCAAUCACGCCAAUUCAGAUCAUGAAAUUCGGCCAACACAUGUUAUGGUCACUAACUGAAGCAAUGUUAUGGCUGGUUGCCAGCUGCGUCCUUGCUGUUGAGUCGCCCUGCAAUGUCCUCAACUACACAAUGUCUCGAUACUUUGUUGCAAAAACAAUGUGCGUUACCUGCCUCACAAUUCCUGUCUUGUCCUUCGGUUAUUGAUUACUACACCUUCGUCAAUUUCAUUGUCCGGAAGCAGGUAAUCAAUCUAAGAGCACCCACUAAAAUCACAUUAUAUUUGUGUCAUAUACAUCCUACUCCAUUCUUGGUGCAUGACAUAUUCUACUUCACGCGUGUUGUCAAGGGAAAUCGAUGGUCGACGAUCAAUAUGAAGUGAGCAAGUUAUACUUAUUCCCUGUCUUUAGUUGAUAGUUUCUGCAUAUGACAAUCAACGAAUUAAACCAGUUAAUAGCCUGCUCAGAUUUAAUAAAUUGAGAAUUUCUUUGUUUCUUGGAAAUGUUGAUGUCGUUGCUUUGUCUCUGAUAGUGGAAAGAGUUCAUUGUUUGUUUUGAACUUGCAUAAGAAUUGAUGGAAUGCUCAUGGAGCAGUGAGUAGUGCUAGAAUUUCAAAGCUUCUCCUCCGUGAAGUUUCAAUAGCCUCGCAAGUAAUUUCAUUCCUUACCAAUGCAUUUGGCAGCUUGAGAAUCAACCAGCUAGUCAUUGCAUCACAACCCUUCAAACCUAACCAGUUUGCACUAGGGCUUACUAAUGGCAGCGUCCAUGUACUUGAGCUAUUGGAAUCUAAAGGAGAGUCAGGUACUUUUCCUCCUGUUGAAAAUGGUGCUGGGCCUAGCACGACCUUUGGCGCAACCGGUCUAGAUCGACUGCAAAGGUAGUGUAGGCCAUGUCUCUUCCUAUGAAACUUUUUGAGUAUUAAAAUGCUGAGUCGGUUUCGUCCGCUGCACUUGAUUCAAAUUUUGAGAGGAUGCUGAAGAGGGUAGAUUUUACCGCCUUGGAGUACUUCCUCGGGACACAGUUCGUGCUCUCUCCCCUAUCUGCCUUUUUUUUUUUUUUUUUUUUUUCAAAAAACCCAUCUGACUCGGGAUUCUAGAUAUCCUCACGGCUGCUGCUUCGCUCCCUCUCUCUUGGUCUCAUCCUCACGCGCUCCCCGCCUUGUUCCGUCAAGUCGCAGGGUCAAGAAGGAGACAAAUUAGGGCUGGGUUUGUUGAGUUUUUUCAAGCCAAUCUAAUGGGCUCUAGUGAAAAAUGAAAUAAUGGAGGUUUGGUACAAGGAUAUUGAACAAGCUGAGGGCUCGACAUGGUAUUGUUUCUGGGCUUUAAUGGGUCUGAGUUAUGCAAGUUGGGCUUAACAAAUGUGCAUGGCCCACGGGCUUGGCUUGGUCGAAUUGGAUCGAGCCCAGCGCAUUUACUGAAUAUCCUCUCCACUUAGUUGAUGAAUUGAAGUCCCUUUUAUGUUUUUGUCUUUUUUUGCGUUUUUCAUUUUGGUUUUAUUCAGUCAUAACAAAAACUGACUGCCUAAAUUGUCAAUUUUGCUUAAAUUUCCAGCCAAAAAUGAGGGUGUCGACUGUAAGUUACUGUAAUCUUGAUUGUGCUAUAAUUGUGAAAUGUUUAUCAAACGCCACCCAUUUUUCAUGGCCGAAAUUGCUGCAUGAAAGGUGUACCAAAUAGUCUUAUAAAUAAAAUGCUUCAUACAUCUAACAUAAAGCAUUUCUACUCUUUCCAAAAUCAUUCAUAUAUUUUCAGGUAGUCGUAAUAUGAAUAAGUUAUAUAAAAAAUGCUAUCGCAGCUAAACCGUUGAUUCGAAAUCUUCAAGCAAAUAAUUAUGGAAGGAGAUUGCCAAUGCCAUUGGGAGGCAAUUUGCUAAAAGAAGCAUUUCUAAGAGGUAUAAUAAGUUAAAAUUCAACAAAAUGCAAAUCGAUUGGUGGUGCUUAAUCAUGUAAAUGAAAAAGCGAUACUAAUAUAAAUAAACCAAGACUUACUGACAGAAUCAAAAUUUCAUUUUCAUCUCAUGUUGCCAUAUAAACUUGUUAUUUUGUUCCGAAAAAGAGUCCAUUUAAAUGUGUGUUUAACUUGCCACAUAAUUCUCAUUUAGCGGUCAAGCAUAUGCAUACAUACUUAUUUCCAUCUUUGACUGGGCUUGUUACUCUUCUUGGCUAGGGUUGACUGCUCCAAAGCCACGGGUAACAUUAUAUAUCUGUUCUCCCACGUCAAGUAUCUUUUCAUCUUUCAACUUUUGUUUUUUAGUUAAGUCAUCCUUCGACUUUAGCGUAGUGUUAUCUUGCAUAUGCAAAGAAAGCAUAUGCGUGCUUCAUUCAUGUCAAAUUAGAAGGGAGGACUAAGUUUUCAAAUGGCUUUUAAUUGACUGAACUCGUCUAUAAGUCGCAAUGAUGCUUAUAUAGGGAGAUUAGCCCCCAUAACUUGAAUGAAAAUGAACAAGACGAGUUUACUUCAAAAUGCCGUAUAAUUAUUCUCUACAAAGCAAAUGAUGUAUGGAUAUUGAGGUAUACAUUGCUUGACAUGUGAACCUCAAAUAAGCAUUGUGUCUGUCAAAUGCGUAUUCUUUUCUUUUUAUUUUCUAUUUUAUGGAAGUUGGAAAUUUCAACAAAACACAUUAUGAACAACCAAUUGAACUAUUAGUGAAAUUAAUAAAAUUUCAAUGUUACAACAGUAUCAAUUAAAUUUUAGUCUCGAAACACCAUGGAAUAACAUGCAAAUUUUACUAGUGUAUAAAAAAGUACUUUAAACUCGAACAAUCUCUAAAGCAGGAGCACUGAAAGGUUAAAGGGGAAGAAAAUUACAGAUGAAACAAAUAUUAAUGGAGGGACCAAAUAAGAGAGAGUUGACCCAUGGAACUUUUUCCACGCUUGGUGCAUUCUAUCCUUUAUCCUUUUUCCCUUAUCUUGUCUCUUUCUUUUCCAUAUUAGAGGUUGUCCCGUCUCGUCACUUUUUUUUCUUUUUCCAAAAAAAGAAUUACCAAUAGCAACAUCAUCUUCUUGCCAUGUCCUCUAACCAAUAUUUAACUUGAAUUGGGUUUUUCCCCUCUAAAGUAUGGCAAAAGGCAGGCAUAUUAACUAUUUGAUAAGUUUUCACUCACCAUGAAUGACUUUUCAUUUUGUCUUUAAUGAUGUGCAAGUUACUGUUCACACAACAAGUGCUGUAUUUCCUAUACCCUCUUCCAACUUUCACCUUUUUACCUCAAAUCACGGCGUGGUUUAAAAGUCCAUGCUAUGUAAACUCUUCCUCUUUACGUUACCAUCCUCAUUUUUUUCUCAUAUUCUCAAAUGUUUUUCCAACCUUCUCUCUCAUGAUCAGCCUAACUUAAAUGAAUUAUGACCGGCACCAACUGGGGCCACUAGGCCUGCAUGAUAGAACUCAGGCGGGCCCACCCCUAAAUUGUGUCUCUGUCUUUGGCUCUCAUUAGUUAAAAUCCUCGCUUAUCCACAAUAGGACAUAUGGCGCCCAAUGGUUUAAUUAAUUUUCGUGGUAACUGGUAACUGGCGCGGAAGCACAAAACUCUAGUAAACAGAAAAAAAAACAAUCUAUUCUUUCCCUUCUUGAGAAAAGGGGCGGCACAAGAAGGAAAGGUCCCUCUGUUUUUCUCAAGGUUUUUUACGUUGACUAAGGGAAAACUCAUGCGCCCAGAAGGGAGGAAGCAGGGGAAAAUGGCUCCAUCUUCCAUCAUCUCCAGCCACCAUAAUAUCUCAAGUUCCGAUUUAGCCACUUGCCUACCACCGCCCAAUCAUUACAAGUUCCAACUCCUUCGCCGGUCGCCGCCGUAGACCAUCAGUCUCGGGAGGAGCACGUUCUGUUGUCACAAGUAAGAGGCCGAGUGUCCGAUUCUCUUGUUAUGAUUAAUAUCAUAGUUUGAUUUUUUUUUUUUUUUUGACUUCGAACAUUAUGUACUGAUUUAGGUCGAGUCUAGUUAUAAAUUUGAGUUCGAAAUGGCUUUGAUCUGUUCCACAACCAAUUCGCCAUAAUCUGUUUGAUGAAAUGAGUCUGAGAUCUUGUUGUGAAUUGAUUCCAGUAAUCGUCCGAUUUGAAAGCACAUUAGUGAUGUUCACUUGAUAUUGUUUGAUUUUGCAAUCUUUAGACGUGAUUAUGAGUAUACGCCAUAGUUGCCAAUAAUGAAACUGACUCUCCGUUUGUUUUCUCAGUGGUUCCUGUGAUCCUUUGGUGAUUGGUGGUGGUCGGUGACACGAGAAGGCUUGGAGUCGCUGGCACACACGUGAUCUUUGGUGAUGAUCAUAGUACGCCCUGUCGAACAGAAUCGAGACGACAUCCCUGAGCGUGAAUUGUGAUCACGCCAAUUCAGAUCACGAACUUUGGCUGACACAUGUUACGCUCACUAACUGGAUCAAUGUUAUGGCUGGUUGCUAGCCACCUCCUUGCCGCUGAUUCACCCCGCAAUGUCCUCAACUGCACAAUGUCUCGAUACUUUGUUGCAAAAACAAUGUGCAUUACCUGCCUCACAAUUCCUGUCUUGUCCUUCGGUUAUUGAUUGCUACACCUUCGUCAAUUUCAUUGUCCAGAAGCAGGUAAUCAAUCUAAGAGCACCCACUAAAAUCACAUUCUAAUUGCGUCAUCUACUUCCU